rnacentral:rRNA from 1 species
AGAGCGAACGCUGGCGGCAGGCUUAACACAUGCAAGUCGAGCGGGCGUAGCAAUACGUCAGCGGCAGACGGGUGAGUAACGCGUGGGAACAUACCUUUUGGUUCGGAACAACCCAGGGAAACUUGGGCUAAUACCGGAUAAGCCCUUACGGGGAAAGAUUUAUCGCCGAAAGAUUGGCCCGCGUCUGAUUAGCUAGUUGGUGAGGUAACGGCUCACCAAGGCGACGAUCAGUAGCUGGUCUGAGAGGAUGAUCAGCCACAUUGGGACUGAGACACGGCCCAAACUCCUACGGGAGGCAGCAGUGGGGAAUAUUGGACAAUGGGCGCAAGCCUGAUCCAGCCAUGCCGCGUGAGUGAUGAAGGCCCUAGGGUUGUAAAGCUUCUUUUGUGCGGGAAGAUAAUGACGGUACCGCAAGAAUAACGCCCGGCUAACCUUCGCGCCAGCAGCCGC